AUCGGACUGCGGCCGCCCGCCCCCUUUUCUCUUCCCUUUCUCUUCCCCUCUGAUGGCCGGCGUCAGGCCCCUCUCUCUUCUCCUUCCUCUCUCUCCCUCCCUCCCCCUAUCUUCCCUUUGAGUCUUGUUUUCCUCCACUUCUCUCUCUUCUCUUUGAGUUCCAGCCCCCUUUGCCGGAUCUCUCCCUCCGGCGGAAGGCCAAGCACCCCCACUCUUUUGCCUCCUCCCUUCCUCUCUCUCCCUCUUCCUACUGCGGUCGGACAGUGGCCAUGCCCCUCGGUUUCACCUUCCUCCCUCUCUCUUGUUCUCUCUCUCCUUCCUCCCCCAACCCUCUGUUUUUCCCUUUUCGCCGAUCCUUUUCGACGGUGGAUCAUUUUCUGGUGGAGUGCUGAUCUACUCCGCCAUCUUCUCUUUCCUUCUCUUCAUCGGCCAUUCUUGGCAGCGGGCCCGGCUAAGCCGGCUUCUCUUCCUCUCCCCGGCAAGGUCAAUCGCUGGUCCUAUUCUUCUUUUUUUCCACCGACUGUUCUCGAAACCCACCGAGACUGAGAGUUGGCUAUUCUUGAACCCCCCGGGCGCGUUGAGCCCCUCUCUUUGCUGCCUGGCUUUCGCGGGGUGUCGCCAGUAUUUUCUUGCUGGAAUGCAUGACUGUCUUCCCCAUCAUGGGGCGUCUCCCUUAUCACCUCUGGUUGGGCCCCCAUUCCUCUUCCCUUCUCCCUUCCUCUGGCCUUGAGGACCUCUUUAUCCUCGGCUGGAAUCUUCCUUGGAGCGGCCCCCAUUCUCCGCUCUUCUUCGAGUCUCCGUCAGUCGGAAAAAUCUUGGUUUCGGACUGCUUCUCUUCUGUUUCAGUGUUGUAGAGAUCGGAGUGCUCGUUCUCUGACUGUUCUCGAGUGAUAGCUUCUCUCUCUAUUCUGCGACCCUCCUGAUAUCGGACUGUUCUCUUCUCUUCCGGCAUUGGGAUUGAGGCACUCCUCGGAUCUAGUCAUCGUCUGUGGGUCUUCUCCUUCUUCUAGUCACCAGCAUUUGCUCUUCUCCGGCGGCCCGCUUUCUCCCCGGCUGCCGGAUUCUCUCUCUGAGCUGCUGGUGUCGUCGUCGGUGAAGACGGAACGGCCAUCCAUGGCAAUGUUGGAUGGAGGUGUCGUCGACUUGUUGUGAAGCCAUGGGUCCCCCUUCUUCUCCUGGGACAACUUCAUUCUCCGAUGGUCAGCAUUGCUUCUUUUCUGUUGGCGGCAGAAUGGGUUUCUCUCUUUUUUAAAUUCAAAUUUUAAAUUUGAAUUUCAAUGCUGAGGGUUUGUUGGAAUUUCUUUUCUAUUGAUUUCUUUUCUUCUUUUAUUAUUUUUUUUGUACUCUUUUUUUUCUAAUAAAUUUGGAUGAAUUUUUUCUCUCUUUAUAUAAAAAAAUAAAAUAUUAAAUAAAUUAUUCAUAGAUAUUUGAAAAUUUUUAAUCACUAAAUCAUGAUGUAUUGAACAUCCGAUCAGAUCAUAAUAAAAUUCGCAUCACUGAUGAUCUUAGAUUACCGUGGUGAUCUUUUUUUGGUUCCAAACGCUGCGUGGAAAGGGGGAAGGGGUCUUGAAUUCCUCGAGAACAUUGCCACUGCAUCCGGUCUUCUUUGUCGGUCAAAUAUUUCGAGUUAGAUUCACUUCUAUUGCGUUAAAAUGUUUCUCAAGAAAUUCAAGAACUCAGACUUGAUCACGUGGGUCUUCUCCACAUUAUUUUGCGGUAAAUUUCGUUCUUUCUUAUAGUUUUAUGGAAACCGGUUGUUUUCUGAAUUCUUGAUUCCUUAUUUCUUCUCUGAUGAUCAAUAUGAAGAACCGUCCGCAAUUUCUUGGUUAUUUUUCUCUAGUUUUUUUUUUAUUAUUUCUCUCUAUGCCAAAGUUUUGGGCCGGGGUCGAUCAAUAUAUGAGAAAAGGUUCUCCUAUUAAAAAUUUAUCCGAGAAAAAAAAAUGAAUUCCCGUUAUUUUAGAGUUUGAGAAUCAAUUGACUUGAGAAUUCUUGAUUUCCCAGUUUGUUGAGGUGAACUGGAUAUUGUUCUGGCAUUUCGUUUGAUCUUUGUUAAUCUUUGAAAUGCAUCCAGCGAUCAUGUUCAUCUUGUCUUUUAGCAAAUUAUUUUGAACUUCUCUCUCUCGGUGGAUACUUUCAAUGAAAAUAUAAACAAAAUGUGGAGAAAGUAGAAUCUAUUUGAUGAUUUGACGAUGUUUUUCCUUAAAUAUCGCAAUCUGACAUUAAACUCUCUCUGUGCUCCAUAAACAAAUUUGCCUUUUAGUUGAGAGGGAAAAAGAAAUAUAGCAACAGACAUUAGCUUUUUAUUAUUUUCUUUUCUCCAGUUCCAGAUUUUUUUUUUUUUGUAAAAUUUUUUUCUCCAGUUCAAGAUGGGACUGAUGUCAACAAAGGUUUUGCCUGCCUGUGGGAGGUUGUGUUUCUUCUGCUCUGCACUGAAAGCAAUGUCUUGACAGCCAGUGAAUCAUUACAAGAAGGUUUUGGCUGACAUUUUUUCUUGAAUGCAGAAUGAGGAAGUAAUUGAUUGAGACAUUGGCAAAUUGUGCGAACACGCUUCUAGAAAUCCACUACACAUCCCAAAGUCUCUGCAGUUUAUCAUACAGCUCAAAGAAGUGCAUCAGUACCAAAUUUGUUGUAUCAGAAUAAGCUACUCCAGAGUCCAGAAUCACCGAAGACAUAUGAUCUUUGAAGGACACUCUCAAGGAUUGUGUCUGUCUUUACAUCUUCGGCUGCUCUCUUUGAGAAGUUAAGAAGGGAAACUUGCUCCUUGAGAGAUAAUGCUUGCCAAGAAAGUCUGGAUAAAAAUUCUCAUGGUUACUAUGGACAACAAAAGAGCAGCAAUGGGGCAAAUCUGUAUUAACUGAAGACAGCAUGAAAGGCUCUCCUUUACCUGGAGGGCAGAUCGCAGCCGGCCAAACAAAUGACUCUUCGACGCACCACCGCUUUGAUUCGGCCACUAAGAUUGAUCCGCGCAAAACAGCAUCGGGCCAACUGACAUCAGACAGAUGGCAACCUCUGAUUGGUUGGCCGGUAACCAUCGAUUUCUGACUCUCAAAGUCGAAAUAAUGAUCUGCUUCGAGCCGCCCAUCCCUUAUAAAUGCAUCGGGAUCUGCGAGACGGCGAAUCUUCCUAAAUAAUUAAGAUGCGAUUCACGAAGUGACCCAUCAAAUUGGUGUCGGGAUCCACGAAGCGAUGCAUUGAUUCGACUUUGAGAAGUAUGAAGCAAUGCGACGGUUCACUUAAAAUUCAAACAACUCGGAUUUGCCAACUCGGACAUGUACCAAGGACUUAUCUUGAGGAUUACUACUUCUUUUGCCUGAGGCAACUGUCUUGAGCUCGAAAGUGGGGGGCAAGUGUUAGGGGGUUAAACCACCUUGGCCAUUAUCCUCGGUGCUCAUCCAUGGACAUUGCUAUUUGACGUUAUACUUCCUAGAAGGUUCUAGUCGGACAUGGUCAUCGGCCUGAGAUCGAGGACUGUUUGGUGACCACGGUCACAAACUUCAUCUCGAUGCUCAAUGCCAUUUGGGUGUCCUGCUCCUACGGAAGGGCCCUUAUCGCUAUAGCACCAACUCAAAUUCUCGAGAGCCAAAAGAAAAUGGAGGACCACACCACACUCUGCUUAAAGUCAUCAUCCUUUGCUACGUUCCAAGGACUAUGUCGUUUGCCUGCCGACCUCGUGGUUAGACUCAAUCCGAUGACUACAACUAAUGACUCUUAAGGACCUUGGGAUGUAGAGCCAUUACAAAGAGAUCGUGGUUAUGACGGUUAUGACGGAACACCCGAUGGUUACAAUCACACGUGGUGCACAACUUAACGCUAUUAAUCGCCCAUUACUCAUGAUGGAUUGUGAACCACAAUUCUCUGGACGGUUACUAGUAAUUAAGGUAACGUAUCCAUCCUCCCCUCUAUAAAGGAGACCACAGAGGACUCUUUAGUAAGUUUUGCAUAACUAGAAAGUCUACUUGCUGUUUUUCUCUCUUUCUCUCUCUCUGUUCUCAAAGCUUCAACUGACUUAAGCAUCGGAGGGUCUUGCACCGAAGAAUCUUUGGUGGCUGGACUUUUUACAGGUUCGAAGGAGCGCCCAAAUUCUCGAAUCACCACCGACCACCUAUUUUCUCCUUGGACCUUCGCCGACCUCAGUUACUCAGUCCGGAAUGUUGCAGCAACAUUAUGUAUGGAAUAUGGAAGAAGAAGAAGAAGAAGAAAUGGAAUACGGAAGACGAAGAGGAAUUAUUAUGGUUGGUAAAAGUGUUAUGUAUGGAAUAUGGAAGAAGAAGAAGAAGAUCUUUCAUUAUGGUUCACUUCCGCCAUCAUGUUGCUGGUUCCUAUUUAUGCUGGCAGCAGUCAUAAUUGUGCUUUAUGCAAAGCAUUCAAUGUACAGCCUCGUAUUCCACUCAUUAUGUCAUUGCUGAAUAAGAAAAUGCUAAAGACUAGCAAAAGUGCCGCAACUUAAAGUAUCAUGUCAAUCAAAUAAUCUUCUUCCAGAAUUUUAAUGAUAGACAUCACAAGGUUGAUCCAUUUUUCAAUUGGUUGAAGAUUCCAAACUACAGUCCAUGACCACUGCAUCUGAUCAUCUGGUGAAUAUGGAUCAAAAGAGGAUGAUAAUAGUGCCUUGAUACCUCUUUCGGAAGUAGAACUAACAGUAAACCAGUCAAAAGAAUUCAUGGUUUCUGUAAAUUCUGAACAGCUUAGGAGAUCCAUCAGAUGUGACUCCUAUAAAUUCACUAAGCUUCCUUUUUUCCUCCAUGCGUUGGAAAAUGGUUGUUAUGCUAUCGGUGUCCUUGUUGACUUAAUGUGCAUCUUUUAGACAGAAUUGUCUGCCAUAAGAAAGCAACUUCUGAGUGACUUCUUGCCUGAUGAUGUGUGCAUUGCGGGCUAAAUUUGUGGCAAGUCCUGGACAGAUUCCACCUUUCAGCUCUAAAAAGGACAACUCUUAAGAGAAGGUCAUACGUCCAACCAGUUUAGUUCAUGUCGACAUCUUAACUGAAGCAUUUGAAGGACUUGUAGACCCCAGUCCGCAGUUUCUCAGUGAUAUGUAUAAUUGUCUGUCAAUCAAUUUCUGACACGUUAGAUGUCAGCUUUCUUGUGCUGUUGCGCAAAUAUGUUGCUGUGAACAUUCUGAGCUCCUCCGUCUCCAUAUUUUUCGCAAUCCUCAGUUAAACGGAUAGAAAAUACCAGAAGAUAUCUGUAAAGGAUUUAGUUGCCAGUAGUAUGGCAGCUGCUGGUCAGUGGCUGCUGUGCCAGCGCAUAUGUCACCAUGCUGAAAUGCAAAACGAUUUAAUAGUCCCCUUUUAAUUAAAAUAUAUCAGAAAGAGAUAUAAUAUGUGUAAUGCCCAACUGUACCAACGCAUGUGCGUCAUGGAGUGGUACGGACUGGCUCAGCAGGCUUUGUCCGGGUUAUACGUUUGGUCUAUUAAUUUAUGCGACUCCUUUUGCAGCUUUUGGAGACUUCGUGGC